ACGGGAGGCAGCAGUGGGGGAUAUUGCACAAUGGGGGAAACCCUGAUGCAGCGACGCCGCGUGAGUGAUGAAGUAUUUCGGUAUGUAAAGCUCUAUCGGCAGGGAAGAUAAUGACGGUACCUGACUAAGAAGCCCCGGCUAACUACGUGCCAGCAGCCGCGGUAAUACGGAGGAUGCAAGCGUUAUCCGGAUUUAUUGGGUUUAAAGGGUGCGUAGGCGGACGCGUAAGUCAGCGGUGAAAUAUCCCGGCUCAACCGGGAGGCUGCCGUUGAUACUGCGCGACUCGAGUCCAAACGGCGCCGGCGGAAUAUGUAAUGUAGCGGUGAAAUGCAUAGAUAUUACAUAGAACACCGAUCGCGAAGGCAGCUGGCGAGGAUGGCACUGACGCUGAGGCACGAAGGCGUGGGGAUCAAACAGGAUUAGAUACCCUGGUA
rnacentral:rRNA from 1 species